CCAUACCAUAUGGAAUCAUGGGUAAAAAAAAAAAAUCUCCUUGACAAUGAACCAAUCUCUCACAGACCCAGUGGCAAGGUGACAGCUGCCAAACUCACAGAGGUUUGUUUCUCUCUCCUGCAAAACUUCUCUGCCACACUCAAAAUUUACAGCGAGGAAUUGACAGAUAACUUGGGAAAAGACAGCCCCAAAACAAACUGCUUUGAAAAGUUAUGAAAUCAUGUUAUUGUCUGAUAUUAAAAUCUUUUCCUGCCUAGCAAAGCCAGAGAUAAUCAUAGAUUUUCUCAUCUCAUUUUCCCACUUCUCCUGGUGCACUGUAAACCCAACUGAAGUACUACUUUUGUGACAGCUGACUAUUAAGCAGGCAGUGAAUGCUUUCCAUUUAAAUCACCCCGCUGUGUCACACGGAGCGACGGUUGCUCGGCUGUGACCACCACAGUCCCUGACAGGGCACUCCAGCCUAUACAGUAGAGCCUUUCCUCAAGUGCUCAAAAAAAUGAACUUCUGAACUGGCAAACACACUCUUGCCAGGAAUAUUUCUUGGGGCUGCGGAGCUAUGGCUGAUACAACUCGCUCACUAAGAAACAGCUACACUCCGCAAAUCUUUUUUGUGAUUUAGACACAAGAGGAAAAUGUAUUAAAAACAUCCACUCGAUUUUAAACAAUAUUCGUUUCUGUUUGUAUCAGCAAGAGGAGCUCGUGGGUGCACAAUUCUUGUUUGGAUUAUUUUGUGUAUCAACUGUUGUUUAAUUAUUUGGCUAUAGCAGAAUUGUAAUUCUGGGCUGCACAGAUUACAGAACUGCCAUUCAGUACAGAACAGAACUAACUUUUAUUGAGCUUCAAUAAUACCCUUGCAUUUCUGUGAUCUCCGAGAUGAUAAGCAAAUGAUUUAGUGUAAGCACGAACUGCUAAUGUAAUAUGCAGGGGUUUGGGGUUUUUUGCCCCAAAUCUUACAAUCUGUUUGGACUAAAUAUCAGUGAAGAUCUAUGCUACUACAGAAUCCCAGUUUGCACUUCUAGCUCCAGAUAACAGGUACAAUCCCACUGCUAUUUACAGGAAAGGGUCUGACUAGCAUGGGAAGUGUUAAGUUUUAUUUUGAGACCAGAAAAAAAAUAUGGACACUGUGCCAGGAACUGUCCUUGCUCUGGCUAGCCAAAGUAUUUAUUGUCUUCUGUUACUGCAGGUUUGCUAACACUACCUGUCCUUUCAGUCUCACUGAUUAUUGGGAAAAAAAACUCCCUCUCCAAAUAGUCACACAAAAUAUAAAGCAAAACUCUUAGUAACAAUCAGCCUUGAAUUGGUGUCAGAUUCAAUUUUCUGCUGCUCUCUCCGCUCCUAUCUCUCAAACCCAUCAUCUUACCCGCCCUGCUGGUUAUUUAUUUAGUAUUUCAUACCCAGUUGUGCUGCAUGUCAUUCCAGGCAAGUUCUGAUAAAUCUGUAUUCUAUAUGGGUUUUUAGCACCUGGUGUAAUUAGAGAUCUACUGACAAACUUUCUCUGGAUUGCUGUAUUAACCACUUCUUCCUAUACCAACAUAUGAUUUUACCUCCCAAUAUUAAUUGUAAACACACCAACUAAAUAUUUUUUUUAGAACAUACACUUUUCAGAUUAUGAAUGACAGAAGCAUGAAACCAUUUCCUUCCUGACAGUGGAGUGGUUAUGUGCAAAGAAAUGAGGAGUGCUGUUGGUUAACAGCGUUUUAAAUUCAGAACAAUUAGGUGCAGUUAACUUUGCCAUUGUUCUUUCUGAUGCUGGGGAUGGUGGGUUCUUACCCGUAGAGCAAUUACUCCUUUCAUAAGCGGCUGUUGUUAAUAGCAUUAAAACAAGAUUAAAUACAA